ACGAACGCUGGCGGCGUGCUUAACACAUGCAAGUCGAACGGUGAUGGCCAGCUUGCUGGUCUGAUCAGUGGCGAACGGGUGAGUAACACGUGAGCAACCUGCCCUUCACUCUGGAAUAACUACCGGAAACGGUGGCUAAUACCGGAUAUGAGACGUACACGCAUGUGUCGCGUCUGGAAAGAUUUAUCGGUGAAGGAUGGGCUCGCGGCCUAUCAGCUUGUUGGUGGGGUAGUGGCCCACCAAGGCGACGACGGGUAGCCG
rnacentral:rRNA from 1 species